rnacentral:rRNA from 1 species
GAACGAGAAAGUGGAGCAAUCCAUGAGUAAAGUGGCGACCGGGUGAGUAACACGUGACUAACCUACCUUCGAGUGGGGGAUAACCUCGGGAAACCGAGGCUAAUACCGCAUAACAUCGCAAGAUCAAAGCAGCAAUGCGCUUGAGGAGGGGGUCGCGGCCGAUUAGCUAGUUGGCGGGGUAAUGGCCCACCAAGGCGAUGAUCGGUAUCCGGCCUGAGAGGGCGCACGGACACACUGGAACUGAAACACGGUCCAGACUCCUACGGGAGGCAGCAGUGGGGAAUUUUGCGCAAUGGGGGAAACCCUGACGCAGCAACGCCGCGUGGAGGAUGAAAUCCCUUGGGAUGUAAACUCCUUUCGAUCGGGACGAUUAUGACGGUACCGGAAGAAGAAGCCCCGGCUAACUUCGUG